rnacentral:pre_miRNA from 1 species
GGUAAGUGCGUCUCGGGUGAGCAUGCAAUCCAUGUGCUCGUAUGUCACUCGGCCCACUACC